GCUGGCGGCAUGCUUANNCAUGCAAGUCGAACGGUAACAGGAGAGAGCUUGCUCUCUUGCUGACGAGUGGCGGACGGGUGAGUAAUACAUGGGAAUCUGCCCUGAGGUGGGGGAUAACCCGGGGAAACUCGGGCUAAUACCGCAUGAUCUCUUCGGAGCAAAGUGGGGGACCUUCGGGCCUCACGCCUUGGGAUGAGCCCAUGUCUGAUUAGCUAGUUGGUGGGGUAAAGGCCUACCAAGGCAACGAUCAGUAGCCGGCCUGAGAGGGUGUACGGCCACACUGGGACUGAGACACGGCCCAGACUCCUACGGGAGGCAGCAGUGGGGAAUAUUGGACAAUGGGGGCAACCCUGAUCCAGCAAUGCCGCGUGUGUGAAGAAGGCCUGCGGGUUGUAAAGCACUUUUAUCGGGGAAGAAUAGGUUGUCGUUAAUAGCGCCAACACUUGACAUUACCCGUUGAAUAAGCACCGGCUAACUCCGUGCCAGCAGCCGCGGUAAUACGGAGGGUGCGAGCGUUAAUNCGGAAUUACUGGGCGUAAAGGGUGCGUAGGCGGAAGCUUAAGUCUGAUGUGAAAGCCCCGGGCUUAACCUGGGAAUGGCAUUNGNAAACUGGGUUUCUAGAGUGUGGUAGAGGAUAGUGGAAUUCCCGGUGUAGAGGUGAAAUUCNUAGAUAUCGGGAGGANACCGGUGGCG
rnacentral:rRNA from 1 species